rnacentral:lncRNA from 1 species
GCAUGCAAGUAGAUGAGCCACACCAGAGCCUCCCGUGACUGCCAGGCCAGAAAGGCCCCCAGGAGACGGAGAGUUACCAUCUGCGUUUCGCAAAAGAGGAAAGUGAGGCUCAAAGGAGAGAAAGUGACUUGCCCAAGGCCACAUGGCAGAUCCACUGGGGACAGAAAGAUCAUCCUGCCUCCACUUUUUAGACAUCCAUAUCCCCCUUGCAAGGAAGAACAGCAUAAAGUCAAAUGGCUUCAGGAUUAGUGUAAGGGAACCUUCAGCCUGAAGAAUUGAGCCUGCACAAGACUUGAAGGUCCCUCCCGCGCCGUCUUUUGGCUCCUUGUCCAGAGUCAGAGCAGAGGUUAGAACUCGGUGGGGCUAGAGACGUGUUGACCCCAUACAGGGAGGGGUUCAAGACAUGGCUUCAUUAGGCAUCCCGGAAAUGCAUCUGGAGUGCAGACCCCAUUCCCUGAUGUCCUGUAUAUUAAUUCACUGGAUCCCCAGGACGACCCUGCAAG